rnacentral:rRNA from 1 species
UACGAAGGGGGCGAGCGUUGUUCGGAUUUACUGGGCGUAAAGGGCGCGCAGGCGGCUUUGUUUGUCAGGCGUGAAAGCCCCGGGCUUAACCUGGGAACUGCGUUUGAUACGGCAGGGCUAGAGUUCGGGAGAGGAGAGUGGAAUUCCCAGUGUAGAGGUGAAAUUCGUAGAUAUUGGGAAGAACACCGGUGGCGAAGGCGGCUCUCUGGAACGCAACUGACGCGUGAGACGCGAAAGCGUGGGGA